rnacentral:rRNA from 1 species
AACGAACGCUGGCGGCGUGCCUAACACAUGCAAGUCGUGCGAGAAAGUUCCUUCGGGAGCGAGUAAAGCGGCGCACGGGUGAGUAACACGUAGGUAACCUGCCCCCCAGUCUGGAACAACUAGAGGAAACUCUAGCUAAUGCCGGAUGAGACCACGAUCCCCUUCGGGGGUUGCGGCCAAAGAUGGCCUCUACUUGUAAGCUAUCGCUGAGGGAUGGGCCUGCGGGCCAUUAGCUUGUUGGUGAGGUAACGGCUCACCAAGGCUGUGAUGGCUAGCUGGUCUGAGAGGAUGACCAGCCACACUGGGACUGAGACACGGCCCAGACUCCUACGGGAGGCAGCAGUGGGGAAUAUUGCGCAAUGGGCGAAAGCCUGACGCAGCGACGCCGCGUGGGUGAU